ACUACACCUCUUCAACAGUUUUUCUUGGUGGCAUUGCACUAUUUUAUCUAAAUGAAGCCUCAACUGACUCAAAUGUAGUUCCUUCAAUAAAUUUACUAAGCUAAUAUUUGUAUGGGAGGAUUGGGUGUGUGAAACCUCAAAUAAAUGUUUUACACUUCUUUUUGUUACAGCUCAUAUCCUCUCAGAUAUUUUCAGCUGGAGUGUAAGUGAGCUGACCAAAUAGCUGUCAAGAUGUCUGACAUCAUGUUCAAUGUGUGCUUUUCUGGCGACUCUUCUUCAUCCGGAGCAAAGAUAAAAAACAGGAUGCAUCAAAACAAGACGGAACAACACAAUGUAGCGCUUAAAUUCAAGAAACGGAAAAGGAAGAAGUUUACAAAGACAUCAGAACAAAGAAUCAUGUCCACACAACGUCCAUCCUCUCAUCCCACCACAUCAAACCAGGUUCUACUUCAUGCAGGGAGCUCCAACGAGCCUUCGUCACACCAGCAGCAGCCUUUCACUGCCAUGAACUCCCACACCAAAGCAUCAAAACAAAACUUGAAACCAAUUUCGGUCACCAAGUGCCAACCAUCCGGCAUACCCUGCAAGUACCUUGCCAUGGACUGCGAGAUGGUGGGCACAGGUCCCAAAGGAAGCGUCAGCCAGCUAGGACGUUGCAGCAUCGUGUCCUAUGAGGGCGACGUGGUGUAUGACAAGUUCGUUAAGCCCUCGGUUCCUGUCACCGACUACCGCACGCGAUGGAGUGGCAUUCGCGCCAAGGACCUCAGGAAAGCCACACCCUACUUCCAGGCCAGAAAGGAGAUCCUGAAGCUUCUGGCGGGCAAGAUAGUGAUUGGCCACGCUGUCCACAACGACUUCCAAGUCCUGCAGUACUCACACCCGGCCGCCUUGACGCGGGACACGUCGCGCAUUCCGCUGCUCAACCGGCGGGCUGGCUUUGAGGAGAAGGUGUGCGCUUCACUCAAGAGGCUCACCAAGGCCAUUUUCAAUCGCGACAUCCAGACGGGGUAUGGCGGACACUCGUCGGUAGAAGAUGCACGGGCCACCAUGGAGCUCUACAAACUGGUGGAGGACGAGUGGGAGAAGAAGUUGUCAUUGGGAAAGCAGUAGUAGCAGCCGAUUGGCUCAUUCUACAGGCUCCACCCACUCACUUGCUACUUUAACUUCCGCAUUAGGAAAGUAAAGUAGAUUAAGAGCUUGCCUGCUGCAUUCACCGGAAUACUUGAUUUCAAUAUAGUAUGGAUACCUGCUGGGUGAACUUAUUGAGAGCAUGAAUAAUUGCCACAUGCGGUGCCCAGCCAUGGGAGCUAAUUCACUUUUUAUUAGCCUCAUGCAGGAAUUUGUUCAUGUUGCACAUUGUUAUCCAAGUAGCUUAUUCACAGCGAGGAGCCAUCUGGACAAAACAUGUUGUCGUGAUACCGGUUGACUUUUUAUUUCCUAUAGACCGGCACUAAAUGUCAUCAUUUCAAUGUUAUCACAUUGCGGGUCACUCGAUCUGAUUAAAAA